rnacentral:rRNA from 1 species
GAUGAACGCUAGCUACAGGCUUAACACAUGCAAGUCGAGGGGCAGCAUGAAGUCAGCUUGCUGACUUUGAUGGCGACCGGCGCACGGGUGAGUAACGCGUAUCCAACCUUCCCCUUACUCAGGAAUAGCCCGUUGAAAGACGGAUUAAUGCCUGAUGUUCUCAUGUUGCCGCAUGGCGAUAUGAGCAAAGAUUCAUCGGUAAGGGAUGGGGAUGCGUAUGAUUAGCUUGUUGGCGGGGUAACGGCCCACCAAGGCAACGAUCAUUAGGGGUUCUGAGAGGAAGGUCCCCCACACUGGAACUGAGACACGGUCCAGACUCCUACGGGAGGCAGCAGUGAGGAAUAUUGGUCAAUGGGCGCAAGCCUGAACCAGCCAAGUAGCGUGAAGGAUGACUGCCCUAUGGGUUGUAAACUUCUUUUAUAUGGGAACAAUGUGCUCUACGUGUAGAGUUUUGCGUGUACCAUAUGAAUAAGCA